GUCUGGAUAGCUUAGUGAUCAGAGCAGUUGCCCGGAAAGCGAAAGACUCGGGUUCGAUUCCCAAUCCAGCUA
rnacentral:tRNA from 1 species